AGUGGCGGACGGGUGAGUAACACGUAAGAAUUUGCCUUUAGGAGGGGGACAACAACUGGAAACGGUUGCUAAUACCCCAUAUGCUUUCGAGUGAAAUGGAUUUUUCCGCCUAAAGAGAAGCUUGCGGCUGAUUAGCUUGUUGGUGAGGUAAUGGCUCACCAAGGCGACGAUCAGUAUCUGGUUUGAGAGGAUGAUCAGACACACUGGAACUGAGACACGGUCCAGACUCCUACGGGAGGCAGCAGUGGGGAAUUUUCCGCAAUGGGCGAAAGCCUGACGGAGCAAUCUCGCGUGAGGGAUGACGGCCUAUGGGUUGUAAACCUCUUUUUUCAGGGAGGAACAAAAUGACGUGUACCUGAAGAAUAAGCAUCGGCUAACUCCGUGCCAGCAGCCGCGGUAAGACGGAGGAUGCAAGUGUUAUCCGGAAUCACUGGGCGUAAAGCGUCUGUAGGUGGUUUAAUAAGUCAACUGUUAAAUCUUGAAGCUCAACUUCAAAAUCGCAGUCGAAACUAUUAGACUAGAGUAUAGUAGGGGUAAAGGGAAUUUCCAGUGGAGCGGUGAAAUGCGUAGAUAUUGGAAAGAACACCGAUGACGAAGGCACUUUACUGGGCUAUUACUGACACUCAGAGACGAAAGCUAGGGUAGCAAAUGGGAUUAGAUACCCCAGUAGUCCUAGCCGUAAACAAUGGAUACUAGAUGU
rnacentral:rRNA from 1 species